rnacentral:rRNA from 1 species
CGGUCCCUUCGGGGGCAGCGGCGGACGGGUGAGUAACGCGUGGGAAUGUGCCCUUUGGUACGGAACAACUGAGGGAAACUUCAGCUAAUACCGUAUGUGCCCUUCGGGGGAAAGAUUUAUUGCCAUUGGAGCAGCCCGCGUUGGAUUAGGUAGUUGGUGGGGUAAAGGCCCACCAAGCCGACGAUCCAUAGCUGGUCUGAGAGGAUGAUCAGCCACACUGGGACUGAGACACGGCCCAG